AGUGAACGCUGGCGGUAGGCCUAACACAUGCAAGUCGAACGGCAGCACAGUAAGAGCUUGCUCUUACGGGUGGCGAGUGGCGGACGGGUGAGGAAUACAUCGGAAUCUACUUUUUCGUGGGGGAUAACGUAGGGAAACUUACGCUAAUACCGCAUACGACCUACGGGUGAAAGCAGGGGAUCUUCGGACCUUGCGCGAUUGAAUGAGCCGAUGUCGGAUUAGCUAGUUGGCGGGGUAAAGGCCCACCAAGGCGACGAUCCGUAGCUGGUCUGAGAGGAUGAUCAGCCACGCUGGAACUGAGACACGGUCCAGACUCCUACGGGAGGCAGCAGUGGGGAAUAUUGGACAAUGGGCGCAAGCCUGAUCCAGCCAUACCGCGUGGGUGAAGAAGGCCUUCGUGUUGUAAAGCCCUUUUGUUGGGAAAGAAAAGCAGCAGGUUAAUACCCCGCUGUUCUGACGGUACCCAAAGAAUAAGCACCGGCUAACUUCGUG
rnacentral:rRNA from 1 species